rnacentral:tRNA from 1 species
GCGUCGGUGGUUCAGUGGUAGAAUACUCGCCUGCCACGCGGGUGACCCGGGUUCGAUUCCCGGCCGAGGCA